rnacentral:RNase_P_RNA from 2 species
AGGCCAGGAUAGCGGCUCACGGGCCUUAAUAGGCCUGAGGAAACACCGCCCUCCCAGUGGCAGCUAGGCCUCAGGCUGAGGUGAUACCUCAGGCAACGGCACAGAAACGACACGGCCUCCAUUGUAUGAUUAUGAUACAGAAAGAUCUAUCCAGCAAUGGAUAGAUAGUAAUCUGUUGAAGACAAUGGAGGAUGCGUUGAAACGGCCGACCCUAGCGGAGCAAGGGUGAGGGCGAUGAGGAGCCACGCGAGCUCUCUAAUUUCCGCAGAGUCGAAUGCCGCAAUACAGAAGGCGGGUUAUUAUCCUGGCCU